AGGAUAGUCAGGAAAUACCACAUUUUAUUUAGUACUCUACUCACAAAUAAAAAUACUAAACCCUUUGCUUUUUUAAACAUCAGAGGAAUCUUGUUCAGUUUCUGAGUUCUCUAUUUCCUCUGCAAUUAAAUUAGACCAUGAAAGAUGUUCCAGGCAGUUCAGAGCUGGCAUCUCUGACCAAAAACUGGAUAUUAGACUUUCAAGAGGCUCAAAAAGCUUCCAGAGAAAAUGAUGCAGCAGCACAGUGCAGGCAAGGAGUGUUAACACCGCGUCAGAACUUGAAGGUACGUUCACUGCCUCAAGCCAAAAUAUAUUACAGCAGAAGAAAGCUGGAGGAGAGAGGGAAAGCCCUAACGCUGUGGUGCCAUCGGUCAACAAAGCUCUAAAAACCAUUAUGACCAAAAUAUGCUUUUUUAAAAGCAUCAAAUUUAUGAAGAAGAAAAAAUGAAAAUGAAUGGAAUUGAAAGUCACCCCAUGCUGCUGAAAAUCUUAUUCCUGUUCUUCUAAGAGCAUUACAAAGUUAAAUUACACAAGGGAAAGAUUUUCAAAGACACAGAAGGACAAAUAGGUAUCCCACUCCCGUUAAAAGUUAUUUCUACUGUUUCAAAUAAAUCCAGUAGAAACAAACA
rnacentral:lncRNA from 1 species